GCCUGAGUGGCUCAGUUGUUUGGGCUUCUGAUUUCGGCUCAGGUUAUUAUCUCACAGAUCAUGGGUUCGAGCCCCAUAUUGGGCU
rnacentral:tRNA from 1 species